GGGUUGUGAGGUUAAGCGACUAAGCGUACACGGUGGAUGCCCUGGCAGUCAGAGGCGAUGAAGGACGUGCUAAUCUGCGAAAAGCGUCGGUAAGGUGAUAUGAACCGUUACAGCCGGCGAUGUCCGAAUGGGGAAACCCAGUGCAAUUCGUUGCACUAUCGUUAACUGAAUACAUAGGUUAACGAGGCGAACCGGGGGAACUGAAACAUCUAAGUACCCCGAGGAAAAGAAAUCAACCGAGAUUCCCCCAGUAGCGGCGAGCGAACGGGGAGCAGCCCAGAGUCUGAAUCAGCUUGUG
rnacentral:rRNA from 1 species